rnacentral:misc_RNA from 1 species
UCCGGCUUGUCACCGGCAGUUUCUCCAGAGUGCCCGGCAUUACCCGCUGGCAACUAGGAACAGGGGUUGCGCUCGUUGCGCCACUUAAGGCAACACCUCACGGCACGAGCUGACGACAGCCAUGCAGCACCUGUGUGUCGGUUCCCGAAGGCACCAAGUCAUCUCUGACAAGUUCCGAGGAUGUCAAGGCCAGGUAAGGUUCUUCGCGUUGCAUCGAAUUAAUCCACAUCAUCCACCGCUUGUGCGGGUCCCCGUCAAUUCCUUUGAGUUUUAACCUUGCGGCCGUACUCCCCAGGCGGCUCACUUCACGCGUUAGCUACGGUACCAAGGAAUCGCUUCCCCAACACCUAGUGAGCAUCGUUUAGGGCGUGGACUAC